rnacentral:rRNA from 1 species
ACGGGAAGUGCCUUACGGGGCACGGAGAGUGGCGAACGGGUGAGUAACGCGUAACUGAUCUGCCCCUUAGACUAGGAUAACCUGUGGAAACAGAGGCUAAUACUGGAUAAGCUCAGCGGAGUUAGAGAGGGCUGAGGAAAGGUGAUAUAAGCGCUAAGGGAUGAGGUUGCGAGCCAUCAGCUAGUUGGUGAGGUAAAGGCUCACCAAGGCGGAGACGGCUAGGGGAUCUGAGAGGGUGGCCCCCCACACUGGGACUGAGACACGGCCCAGACUCCUACGGGAGGCAGCAGUAAGGGAUAUUGCACAAUGGACGGAAGUCUGAUGCAGCGACGUCGCGUGGGCGAAGAAGGUUUUCGGAUCGUAAAGCCCUUUUCUAUGUGGCGAGGAAGGACGGUAGCAUAGGAAUAAGUGUCGGCUAACUACGUGCCAGCAGCCGCGGUAAGACGUAGGACGCGAGCGUUAUCCGGAGUUACUGGGCGUAAAGAGCGCGCAGGCGGGAGGACAAGUUGCUUAUGAAAGGUACUGGCUAAACUGGUAUAAGCUAGGCAAAACUGUCUUUCUAGAGGGGAAGAGAGGGAAGCGGAAUUCCGGGUGUAGUGGUGAAAUGCGUAGAUAUCCGGAGGAAUAUCGGAGGCGAAGGCGGCUUUCUGGCUUCCAACUGACGCUGAGGCGCGAAAGCGUGGGUAGCGAACGGGAUUAGAAACCCCGGUAGUCCACGCCGUAAACGAUGUACAUUAGGCGUUCGUAUAGGGAACUAUAUGAGUGUCGCAGCAAACGCGGUAAAUGUACCGCCUGGGGAGUACGGUCGCAAGGCUAGAACUCAA